rnacentral:rRNA from 1 species
GACGAACGCUGGCGGCGUGCUUAACACAUGCAAGUCGAACGAUGAAGCUGGAGCUUGCUCCGGUGGAUUAGUGGCGAACGGGUGAGUAACACGUGAGCAAUCUGCCCUUGACUCUGGGAUAACUGCGGGAAACUGUAGCUAAUACCGGAUACGAGACCUGAGGCAUCUUCGGGUCUGGAAAGAAUUUCGGUCAAGGAUGAGCUCGCGGCCUAUCAGCUUGUUGGUGAGGUAAUGGCUCACCAAGGCGACGACGGAUAGCCGGCCUGAGAGGGGGACCGGCCACACUGGGACUGAGACACGGCCCAGACUCCUACGGGAGGCAGCAGUGGGGAAUAUUGGACAAUGGGGGCAACCCUGAUCCAGCCAUGCCGCGUGAGUGAUGAAGGCCUUAGGGUUGUAAAGCUCUUUUACCCGGGACGAUAAUGACUGUACCGGGAGAAUAAGCCCCGGCUAACUUCGUGCCAGCCGCCGCGGUAA